rnacentral:misc_RNA from 1 species
GAUGAAGAACGUAGCGAAAUGCGAUAAGUAAUGUGAAUUGCAGAAUUCAGUGAAUCAUCGAAUCUUUGAACGCACAUUGCGCCCCUUGGUAUUCCGGGGGGCAUGCCUGUUCGAGCGUCAUUAUCACCCCUCAAGCUCAGCUUGGUGUUGGGGCCUGCCGUCAAGGCAGCCCUUAAAAUCAGUGGCGGCGCCAUCUGGCUCUAAGCGUAGUAAUACUUCUCGCUACAGGGUCCUGGUGGUGUCUUGCCAGAACCCCUCAUUUUUUAUGAUUGACCUCGGAUCAGGUAGGGAUACCCGCUGAACUUAAGCAUAUCAAUAAGCGGAGGA